rnacentral:rRNA from 1 species
CCGUGCAAUCAAAGCAUCUCAAGCUAUGAGACCAGCUUCACAAGCUAAGUAAGAGCAAGCCUGAUCAGUACUGUACUUGAAUGGGAGACCACCAAGGAAAAGCUGGAUGCUGCAGGAA